AUUUUGUGGACACUCUUAGGUUGGCGGCCAUCUUGGAUUUUCUAAAUUAUUAUUAUUAUAAUUUAUUACACCCACUAUAUCUGGUAUCUGGGUGUUGAAAGUCAUGUGACCGGCCGGUGCCAGGGCCUUUUCCCGCCUUCCCAAUGACAAAAAGGGAAAAGCCCUGGGAACGAGGUUGACUAUAUAUAGCUGCAAUAUUAUAGGAAGCAAUGAGAAAACAGGUUCAUUCUGGACACGUCGGUAUUGUACAAACAAACAUGGUAUAAAUAAUCAUUGUAUUUUGGUAAUAAUUAUAUACAUCAUUCAUAACAAGAACAAAAUUUUCAACAACAGUUAAAUAUUUAUAAAAUUUAUUUAAAAAUAUUCGUAUUUUUUCCUUCUAUAUGAGUUGUAAAAUUAAAGUGCUUUCAAGUUUUUCUCCGUCCUGCAGCUACUCAAAGAACAUUUAAUAGUAUUUUGACCGAAACGUUCUUUUAGAAUUCAUAUAGACAGAGACAACAAUAUUUUUAAUAAAUAAAUUUUAUAAUCACUUUGCCUCUACAACUAAUCAUAUUUUUACUACCUAAAUAUUAUUUUCUAUCUUUUAACGCUCAAUACUUCCAAGAAAAAUAUAUGGUUAAGGAAAUUCUAUUUUUUGGUGUGAUUGUUUAAAAGAACAAAAAAUUACAUGACUAAACAUUCUAUUCAACACCCCCCGUGAAAUUGUUCGAGGGGUGCGUGCGUGGGGAAGGAGGGGGGGGGGGGG
rnacentral:lncRNA from 1 species